rnacentral:lncRNA from 1 species
CUAUCUAGAUUAAAUGGCACUUAAGAUAUGGUAAGAAUGAGAGUGAGAAACGCUUAGUGCUAUAGAGCAGGCCGACAUUAAACAUUCUUUAUGGGUUGUCAUAGCAACCCACUUUGAUAACUCACAUCUCUGCACUGGAGUUAAAUAAGGGGGCACAUGGCACUUAGGAAGGUGCAGUCUCCUUUAAGAAGAUCUAUAAGCACUGCAGAUGAACAGAACUCGAAACAUUCCUCCAUGAAUAUUCAUGAAGUAAGUUGUUUUUUGUUGCCUGCCUAGUCAGCAGUCACAAAACACAUGGUGUGUGUUGGCAGCAUCUUGCCUAGGUAGAGGGCUAUGGACUGAGGCAAUGGCAGGAACCAGGACCUGUGAGGCUGACUGACAUUUCCAUCUGUAGCUAAGGCUGGUAAUUAACAGGAAGGAGUGUGCCUGCAGCACCGCACCAUCUGCUAGGGAAACGGCUCAAUAAGAAAGGAGCUGGAUAUCAUCUCAGUGGUGGCGCGAGUCGGUUCCGACAUGAGGCUGGGCAUCUGUUAGUUGAGGAGAGAGGCUAUUAGGAAAUUCGACUGGGAAUGAACCACAUGGAAAGAGCACUCUGACCUAGCCCAUCAAAGCAUCUCUUCAGAAAUGGGGCCUUUUUAUCUUACUUACACAAGACUUUGGAAAAUGGUUUGUUCAGGGACCAUUACAGGCCUGUUUGAUGUCACACAAUGAUUUUUUUUUUUUUUUUAGGAAAAAACCCACUCCCAAACCUUGCUGUAUUACAAUGUGAAAUUCUUGAAAUCAGGAUACAGCUGUCAUCGUUUGACAAUGGAGCUAAUUUCAGAAUGGAAACACUGAUGAUGCUCACAUAUCCUUGUUAAAGGUACAGCAGGGCAUUAAAAUCAAGUUAGCAGUUAACUAUCAAGGGUUGGCUGAGUAGCAACUCUGUGAAACAACCCAAAGUGCAGGAAAACCAGCCUUAGGAAGACAGGAGGAAAAAAAGGUUUGUUGACUGUGUUUACUUAAUCAGACCCAGGAGUUCCAAGGUCAAGCAUUCUGUUGGCUGUAAUUUAUUGUAGCAAAUACAGCAGGCGCUGCUUCUUCAUUGGAAUCUAAGAGCGUGACUAGAUGGGGAAAAUACGGGAAAUAUUAUGGAUUUGGGGAAGGC